GUUGGGGGGUUGAACAAUUGUUAACACUCAAGAACGUUCCGCCAUAGAAACCGGCCAGGCUAUCUGUCAGAUUCAAUCGAGUCAGGUAUCACCAUGGUAAAUCUAUUGAGGUUGGGUUCCUAUGUUUGGCCAGGCCAUCAGCACCAGAGACUGACCGGGCUAACUUCCUAUGUCAUAUUAGCUACACUGAUCAACUUCCUCUUUGUAUUUUUAGCUCCUAAAUAACUAAAUUGGCGUUCCUAUGGUUGGAUCUGCGCUACGGCGACGGAAGGGGUCCCCUGGAGUUCGGAGAUGCCCUUCUGAAGCUUGCGGCGUCAAGAUCUGAGUUCGGUCGUCGCGCUGGAGGAGAUUUCACUGAGCCGGCGUGCCCCUCCUAUUGCCGCUGGAGUCGCUAAGGUGGCGCCUUUGAGCAUUGUCGUCCGGAUGUUCCUUCCUGGCAAGCGCUAAAGCUUCUGAAGUUAUUCUCGGAACCAGCGACUGGCGCCAGAGGUUUGGCACUGUUCGACAGAAAAGCAAGUGACGAUCUCGAGCUGCUCUAUCCGCCCCGCAUAGCCCGGAAAGCGCAAUAGAUGCAGGCCGCACCCAAGGACACCACGGUCCACGACAGUACCUCAUCGCCGCCGCACAGCCAAGAAUGAGGUACAUGUUGUCCGGCCCCGACAUGCUUAACAACGCCAGGAUGCAGGAUGCCUUGAUGAAGAAGCGGCGGGGCCGGCCACUGGGCAACGCCAAAGAAGCACAAGCCUUUCCCCUUCCAAGGUACCCGGUGAUUGCAUCUAAAAAAAUUUCCGUCUUACCUCAUCGCCGCCGCACAGCCAAGAAUGAGGUACAUGUUGUCCGGCCCCGACAUGCUUAACAACGCCAGGAUGCAGGAUGCCUUGAUGAAGAAGCGGCGGGGCCGGCCACUGGGCAACGCCAAAGAAGCACAAGCCUUUCCCCUUCCAAGAAGUCUUGCUAGAGAAGGGAAGCAGUAACUCGAAGCCUCACCAUAAGCCGUCCACACAUGCUGUGUACCUUCGAUAUUUAGUGGCUUUGUAUGGUAACUUCAUUUCCUGGUUUGUGUAAAUAAAAUUGUUAUGAAAAGCCAUCGGUUACUGGAAGACUUGGGAAUGUACAUUGCCUCGCGCAAUCUCAUCUCAUCAAAUGAAUGGCCCUUACUGGCACCAAGACCUUUAGGGUGCAGUGCUUUGCUUUA